UCUGGAACCAUUCCAGGAGCCCACGGAAAGGGGCUCGGACAUACUUUCAGUCUGUUCGAUAAGCCUUUGGCCGGCAAGCUACCUCGGAAGAACACACUCCGUUUUAGUGAGUUGCUCUCCUGUGGACGAAGCUGGGAGCUUCUUAUGUACCCGAAGAAGUCAGCUUUAGGUGGAAAUCAACAACCCAGGCUUUUUCGUUCCCCUCUCCUGCAGUUGGAUUGGCUGGCGUUGACUGAACCUCUCCAUCUCAGAGACACUAACUGGCAUUUCAUAUCUGUUAACCCUGAACAACCAGGUACUUGGACACAGCUUUGCCAGAAGCGUCACAUUUUAGUGUUUUCCUUUGAUCUGAACUCAGCCCUGGUGUCAUCAGAAUGAGCCCCAUCCUUCCGUUGCUUCUGUUGACAGCCGUCCAUCCAGGUCAGAUGUGGAUCGUUCCACAACCCCAAGCAAAUGUGUGGACCACCCUCGCCAGAGUCCUCAACCAAGACCACAUUUGCCUGUCAACCUCUUCUGUGUCUGACCCGAU